rnacentral:rRNA from 1 species
AUACGGAAGGUCCGGGCGUUAUCCGGAUUUAUUGGGUUUAAAGGGAGCGCAGGCGGAGAUGCAAGCGUGACGUCAAAUUUCGGGGCUCAACCCCGUCUCGCGUCGCGAACUGCGUCCCUUGGUUGCGGGAAGGGGAGGCGGAACUCGUGGUGUAGCGGUGAAAUGCAUAGAUAUCACGAAGAACUCCGAUCGCGAAGGCAGCCUUCCGGCCCGUCAACGACGCUCAGGCUCGAAGGUGCGGGUAUCAAACAGGAUUAGAUACCCUGGUAGUCCGCACAGUAAACGAUGGACACCCGCGGUUUGGCCUGUAUGGCUGAGCCGCCAAGCGAAAGCGUUAAGUGUCCCACCUGGGGAGUACGCCGGCAACGGUGAAACUCAAAGGAAUUGACGGGG